GACGAACGCUGGCGGCGUGCUUAACACAUGCAAGUCGAGCGGAAAGGCCCUUCGGGGUCUUCGAGCGGCGAACGGGCGAGUAACACGUGAGUAACCUGCCCUAGGCUUUGGGAUAACCCCGGGAAACCGGGGCUAAUACCGGAUAUGACCCGGUGCCGCAAGGUGUUGGGUGGAAAGUUUUUUCGGCCUGGGAUGGGCUCGCGGCCUAUCAGCUUGUUGGUGGGGUGAUGGCCUACCAAGGCGAUGACGGGUAGCCGGCCUGAGAGGGCGACCGGCCACACUGGGACUGAGACACGGCCCAGACUCCUACGGGAGGCAGCAGUGGGGAAUAUUGCAAAAUGGGCGGAAGCCUGAUGCAGCGACGCCGGGUGAGGGAUGAAGGCCUUCGGGUUGUAAACCUCUUUCAGCAGGGACGAAGCGUGAGUGACGGUACCUGCAGAAGAAGCGCCGGCCAACUACGUG
rnacentral:rRNA from 1 species